GAUGAACGCUGGCGGCGUGCUUAACACAUGCAAGUCGAGCGAAGCACCUUGAAGUCCUCGGACAGAGAGGCGACUGAGCGGCGACGGGUGAGGCAACGCGUGGGUAACCUGCCUCAUACAGGGGGAUAACAGUUGGAAACGGCUGCUAAUACCGCAUAAGCGCACAGUACCGCAUGGUACGGUGUGAAAAACUCCGGUGGUAUGAGAUGGACCCGCGUUGGAUUAGCUAGUUGGUGGGGUAAAGGCCUACCAAGGCAACGAUCCAUAGCCGGCCUGAGAGGGCGAACGGCCACAUUGGGACUGAGACACGGCCCAA
rnacentral:rRNA from 1 species